rnacentral:rRNA from 1 species
UACGUAGGGUGCAAGCGUUGUCCGGAAUUAUUGGGCGUAAGAGCUCGUAGGCGGUUUGUCGCGUCUGCUGUGAAAACUCGGGGCUUAACCCCGGGCCUGCAGUGGGUACGGGCAGACUAGAGUGCGGUAGGGGAGACUGGAAUUCCUGGUGUAGCGGUGAAAUGCGCAGAUAUCAGGAGGAACACCGGUGGCGAAGGCGGGUCUCUGGGCCGUAACUGACGCUGAGGAGCGAAAGCAUGGGGAGCGAACAGG